rnacentral:hammerhead_ribozyme from 1 species
AUCCAGCUCACGAGUCCCAAAUAGGACGAAACGCGCUUCGUCCUGAAU